UCAUCUUCGGGGGUAGAGCACUGUUUCGGCUAGGGGGUCAUCCCGACUUACCAACCCGAUGCAAACUACGAAUACCGAAGAAUGUUAUCACGGGAGACACACGGCGGGUGCUAACGUCCGUCGUGAAGAGGGAAACAACCCAGACCGCCAGCUAAGGUCCCAAAGUCAUGGUUAAGUGGGAAACGAUGUGGGAAGGCACAGACAGCCAGGAUGUUGGCUUAGAAGCAGCCAUCAUUUAAAGAAAGCGUAAUAGCUCACUGGUCGAGUCGGCCUGCGCGGAAGAUGUAACGGGGCUAAACCAUGCACCGAAGCUGCGGCAGCGACACUAUGUGUUGUUGGGUAGGGGAGCGUUCUGUAAGCCUGCGAAGGUGACCUGUGAGGGUUGCUGGAGGUAUCAGAAGUGCGAAUGCUGACAUAAGUAACGAUAAAGCGGGUGAAAAGCCCGCUCGCCGGAAGACCAAGGGUUCCUGUCCAACGUUAAUCGGGGCAGGGUGAGUCGACCCCUAAGGCGAGGCCGAAAGGCGUAGUCGAUGGGAAACAGGUUAAUAUUCCUGUACUUGGUGUUACUGCGAAGGGGGGACGGAGAAGGCUAUGUUAGCCGGGCGACGGUUGUCCCGGUUUAAGCAUGUAGGCUGGUUGUCCAGGCAAAUCCGGAUAAUCAAGGCUGAGGUGUGAUGACGAGGCACUACGGUGCUGAAGUAACAAAUGCCCUGCUUCCAGGAAAAGCCUCUAAGCAUCAGGUAACAUCAAAUCGUACCCCAAACCGACACAGGUGGUCAGGUAGAGAAUACCAAGGCGCUUGAGAGAACUCGGGUGAAGGAACUAGGCAAAAUGGUGCCGUAACUUCGGGAGAAGGCACGCUGGUGUGUAGGUGAAGUCCCUGCGGAUGGAGCUGAGACCAGUCGAAGAUACCAGCUGGCUGCAACUGUUUAUUAAAAACACAGCACUGUGCAAACACGAAAGUGGACGUAUACGGUGUGACGCCUGCCCGGUGCCGGAAGGUUAAUUGAUGGGGUUAUCCGUAAGGAGAAGCUCUUGAUCGAAGCCCCGGUAAACGGCGGCCGUAACUAUAACGGUCCUAAGGUAGCGAAAUUCCUUGUCGGGUAAGUUCCGACCUGCACGAAUGGCGUAAUGAUGGCCAGGCUGUCUCCACCCGAGACUCAGUGAAAUUGAACUCGCUGUGAAGAUGCAGUGUACCCGCGGCAAGACGGAAAGACCCCGUGAACCUUUACUAUAGCUUGACACUGAACAUUGAGCCUUGAUGUGUAGGAUAGGUGGGAGGCUUUGAAGCGUGGACGCCAGUCUGCGUGGAGCCAACCUUGAAAUACCACCCUUUAAUGUUUGAUGUUCUAACGUUGGCCCCUGACCGGGGUUGCGGACAGUGUCUGGUGGGUAGUUUGACUGGGGCGGUCUCCUCCCAAAGCGUAACGGAGGAGCACGAAGGUUAGCUAAUCCUGGUCGGACAUCAGGAGGUUAGUGCAAUGGCAUAAGCUAGCUUGACUGCGAGCGUGACGGCGCGAGCAGGUGCGAAAGCAGGUCAUAGUGAUCCGGUGGUUCUGAAUGGAAGGGCCAUCGCUCAACGGAUAAAAGGUACUCCGGGGAUAACAGGCUGAUACCGCCCAAGAGUUCAUAUCGACGGCGGUGUUUGGCACCUCGAUGUCGGCUCAUCACAUCCUGGGGCUGAAGUAGGUCCCAAGGGUAUGGCUGUUCGCCAUUUAAAGUGGUACGCGAGCUGGGUUUAGAACGUCGUGAGACAGUUCGGUCCCUAUCUGCCGUGGGCGCUGGAGAAUUGAGGGGGGCUGCUCCUAGUACGAGAGGACCGGAGUGGACGCAUCACUGGUGUUCGGGUUGUCAUGCCAAUGGCACUGCCCGGUAGCUAAAUGCGGAAGAGAUAAGUGCUGAAAGCAUCUAAGCACGAAACUUGCCCCGAGAUGAGUUCUCCCUGAGACUUUAAGUCUCCUGAAGGAACGUUGAAGACGACGACGUUGAUAGGCCGGGUGUGUAAGCGCAGCGAUGCGUUGAGCUAACCGGUACUAAUGAACCGUGAGGCUUAACCUU
rnacentral:rRNA from 1 species